CUGUGCAGUAGACCUUGGCUCAUCAGGAGUAAGAAACCAUGACAGAAAAAAGAUCAGCACAUCCCUGAGCCUUUACUGAAGAGACCGAGAGACGGAGUAAAGUACUUCAACUAACCAUGUCUUUCAGUCUGUCCUUGAGAGUGCAAAGAAGGGUUGUAGGAAGAGGAAACGUCAGAGGCUGCAAAGAAGAGGAAGAGGCAGAAAUAGGGAGAUUGGCAUAGGGCAAGGCAUAGGAUUUGGAGGCUUUGGUUUGAUCUAAAUGGUGGUCUGAUGGCUUUUCACUGGAAGAAAAAGGAGACCCUCUGAUCAUCUUUGUAGAGAGGAAGAGACAGGCAAAGGGAAGAUGGAUAAAGGAACGUAGUUUCAAAAUUAGUCUGGGAUCAGAAAGACUGGACAUGAAGGUCACUCCAUGUUAUAUACUCACUUCUGAAGAUAUGGAGCUGGAACCACAGAUGAAACAGAACACGAUGUCCAGAAGCUGCAUCCGAC